rnacentral:rRNA from 1 species
CCCCCAGUAAGGGCGACUGAACGGGGAGGAGCCCAGCGCGGAACCUCGCGCGCCUCGCCGGCUGCGUCUGAGGAAUGUCGCGUUCCGGAGGGACCUUCUCCGACCACACCGACCCCCCCCAAGUCCGCUUGAACGCGGCCACUGCCCACGGAGGGUGCGAGGCCCGUACGGGGAUUAGGAGUCGGGCGGUCGGACGGCCCCGUCCGUAGAGUCGGGUUGCCUACUAACGCAGCCCAAAGCAGGUGGUAAACUCCAUCUAAGGCUAAAUAUGACCACGAGACCGAUAGCGAACAAGU